rnacentral:rRNA from 1 species
GCCUGAUCUAGCCAUGCCUGCGUGUGUGAUGAAGGUCUUAGGAUCGUAAAGCACUUUCGCCAGGGAUGAUAAUGACAGUACCUGGUAAAGAAACCCCGGCUAACUCCGUGCCAGCAGCCGCGGUAAUACGGAGGGGGUUAGCGUUGUUCGGAAUUACUGGGCGUAAAGCGUACGUAGGCGGAUUGGAAAGUUGGGGGUGAAAUCCCAGGGCUCAACCCUGGAACUGCCUCCAAAACUAUCAGUCUAGAGUUCGAGAGAGGUGAGUGGAAUGCACAAGUGUA